UACGUAGGGGGCAAGCGUUGUCCGGAUUCAUUGGGCGUAAAGAGCGUGUAGGCGGCCAGGUAGGUCGGUUGUGAAAACUGGAGGCUCAACCUUCAGAGGUCGACCGAAACCAUCUGGCUAGAGUCCGGGAGAGGAGAGUGGAAUUCCUGGUGUAGCGGUGGAAUGCGCAGAUAUCAGGAGGAACACCAAUAGCGAAGGCAGCUCGCUGGGACGUUACUGACACUGAGGCGCGAAAGCGUGGGGAGCGAACAGG
rnacentral:rRNA from 1 species